rnacentral:rRNA from 1 species
AUUGAACGCUGGCGGCAGGCUUAACACAUGCAAGUCGAACGAGUAGCGGACGGGAGAGUAAUGUCUGGGAAACUGCCUGAUGGAGGGGGAUAACUACUGGAAACGGUAGCUAAUACCGCAUACCAUCAGAUGUGCCCAGAUGGGAUUAGCUAGUAGGUGGGGUAAAGGCUCACAUAGGCGACGAUCCCUAGCUGGUCUGAGAGGAUGACCAGCCACACUGGAACUGAGACACGGUCCAGACGCCUACGGGAGGCAGCAGUGGGGAAUAUUGCACAAUGGGCGCAAGCCUGAUGCAGCCAUGCCGCGUGUGUGAAGAAGGCCUUCGGGUUGUAAAGCACUUUCAGCGGGGAGGCGUUACCCGCAGAAGAAGCACCGGCUAACUCCGUGCCAGCAACCGCGGUAAUUC